rnacentral:rRNA from 1 species
CUUGCUUCUCUUGAGAGCGGCGGACGGGUGAGUAAUGCCUAGGAAUCUGCCUGGUAGUGGGGGAUAACGUCCGGAAACGGACGCUAAUACCGCAUACGUCCUACGGGAGAAAGCAGGGGACCUUCGGGCCUUGCGCUAUCAGAUGAGCCUAGGUCGGAUUAGCUAGUUGGUGGGGUAAUGGCUCACCAAGGCGACGAUCCGUAACUGGUCUGAGAGGAUGAUCAGUCACACUGGAACUGAGACACGGUCCAGACUCCUACGGGAGGCAGCAGUGGGGAAUAUUGGACAAUGGGCGAAAGCCUGAUCCAGCCAUGCCGCGUGUGUGAAGAAGGUCUUCGGAUUGUAAAGCACUUUAAGUUGGGAGGAAGGGCAGUAAAUUAAUACUUUGCUGUUUUGACGUUACCGACAGAAUAAGCACCGGCUAACUCUGUGCCAGCAGCCGCGGUAAUACAGAGGGUGCAAGCGUUAAUCGGAAUUACUGGGCGUAAAGCGCGCGUAGGUGGUUCGUUAAGUUGGAUGUGAAAUCCCCGGGCUCAACCUGGGAACUGCAUUCAAAACUGACGAGCUAGAGUAUGGUAGAGGGUGGUGGGAAUU